rnacentral:rRNA from 1 species
GACAGAGGGUGCAAACGUUGUUCGGAAUUACUGGGCAUAAAGAGCACGUAGGUGGUUCGUUAAGUCACGUGUGAAAUCCCCCGGCUCAACCGGGGAAUUGCGCGUGAUACUGGCGAACUCGAGGCGGGUAGGGGUGAGCGGAACUCCAGGUGGAGCGGUGAAAUGCGUAGAUAUCGUUUGGAACGCCAAUGGUGAAAACAGGUCGCUGGGGAUGCGCUGACGCUGAGACACGAAAGCCAGGGGAGCAAACGGG